rnacentral:rRNA from 1 species
UACGAAGGGGGCUAGCGUUGUUCGGAUUUACUGGGCGUAAAGCGCACGUAGGCGGAUCGUUAAGUCGGGGGUAAAUACCUGGAGCUCAACUCCAGAACUGCCUUCGAUACUGGCGAUCUUGAGUCCGGAAGAGGUGAGUGGAACUCCUAGUGUAGAGGUGGAAUUCGUAGAUAUUAGGAAGAACACCAGUGGCGAAGGCGGCUCACUGGUCCGGUACUGACGCUGAGGUGCGAAAGCGUGGGGAGCAAACAGG